CGUCGCCGCGGGAAUACGAAGGGGGCUAGCGUUGUUCGGAAUUACUGGGCGUAAAGCGCACGCAGGCGGCUCGAUAAAUUAGAAGUGAAAGCCUUGGGCUUAACCUGAGAAUUGCUUUUAAGACUGUCGAGCUAGAAUCCAGAAGAGGGUAGUGGAAUUCCGAGUGUAGAGGUGAAAUUCGUAGAUAUUCGGAAGAACACCAGUGGCGAAGGCGACUACCUGGUCUGGCAUUGACGCUCAUGUGCGAAAGCGUGGGGAGCAAACAGGAUUAGAUACCCCCGUAGUCCCUGUCUCUUAUACA
rnacentral:rRNA from 1 species